UACAGAGACUGCGAGCGUUAUUCGGAUUCACUGGGCGUAAAGGGUGCGCAGGCGGCCAAGUGUGUGAGGCGUGAAAGCCCGGGGCUUAACCCCGGAAGUGCACCUCAAACUACAUGGCUAGAGCAUUGGAGAGGGUAGCGGAAUUCACGGUGUAGCAGUGAAAUGCGUAGAUAUCGUGAGGAACACCAGAGGCGAAGGCGGCUACCUGGACAAUUGCUGACGCUCAGGCACGAAAGCGUGGGGAGCAAAAGGG
rnacentral:rRNA from 1 species